rnacentral:lncRNA from 1 species
UUUUCAAUGGGAUCACCUAUCCUAAAAUUUCUCUAGCUCUAAACUCGUUCAAUUUUCUUAAGCUCUUAGGCGUAACCAUCGCCCAAAAUAUUUUAAUCGUAUUAAGAGGUUUAGCCCUUAUAAGACUAUUUUAAAUCUUGAAGGUGUCACAUCACUUCCCGCCCUAAGUCCUAAUCGAAGUUCUCGUCAGACUCAAACAUAUUCACAAGUAUCAAACAAUAUGAGACUCAUCUGACUAGUUUUAACUAAUCUUCUGGAGAGCUGCACUUCACCUACAACAGUUAUCAACCGAAGAGCAACGCUCUUAUCCGUUGUAUGACUUUAGCUCAGCCGAGACUCAUUUCACACUUUUAGUUGGUUGUU